GGAAUAUUGCGCAAUGGACGAAAGUCUGACGCAGCGACGCCGCGUGUGGGAGGAAGCCCUUCGGGGUGUAAACCACUGUCAGAAGGGAAGAAACGCGCGUUCUCGAAUAGGGUUCGCGCUUGACGGUACCUUCCGAGGAAUCGCCGGCUAACCCCGUUCCAGCAGCCGCGGUAAGACGGAGGGCGCAAGCGUUGUUCGGAAUUACUGGGCGUAAAGCGCGCGCAGGCGGUCCACUAAGUCCCUUGUGAAAUUCCGGGGCUCAACCCCGGAGAUGCGUGGGAUACUGGAGGACUGGAGAACGGUAGAGGCUAGCGGAAUUCCUGGUGUAGCGGUGGAAUGCGUAGAUAUCAGGAGGAACACCGGUGGCGAAGGCGGCUAGCUGGGCCGUUUCUGACGCUCAUGUGCGAAAGCGUGGGGAGCAAAC
rnacentral:rRNA from 1 species